ensembl:lncRNA
AAUGGUGUGGGUGUACCCCAACAGCAGAAUGGUGUGGGUGUACCCCAACAGCAGAAUGGUGUGGGUGUACCCCAACAGCAGAAUGGUGUGGGUGUACCCCAACAGCAGAAUGGUGUGGGUGUACCCCAACAGCAGAAUGGUGUGGUUGUAGACCGCCUACUUGCCAGCUCCUCAGGAGGUGGGCUUUUCUGUGGGUUUUUUCUCCAAUGUAUUAUUUUCCACAAAUACGAGUAUAGGACGAGUCAACAACAUUAUUUGUGUACGAGUUAACAGAAUAUUAACUUUCAAAAAAGUGACAUUCUAUAGACGGUUUGCUGUGAAGACCACUGAUUGAAUGAUCAUUUGAAAAGGACUUGGAGCACAACUUCAUGAGCUUUGUUGUCAUUUGAAUAAUACUUUAAUGUGAAAUGAACAAUGAAUAUAUAUAGUUUCUAAAUAAUUGUCUAUUUCUUUCUUCGUGUUCAGGAAAGGAAAUAGUGUUUACUUCAGGUAUGUCUUUAUUAUUGCGUUAGUGAAUACUGCGGUUGGUAGGUAAUGCUCAACUUUCACAUUCCCAUACUGCCCUCAUGUGGUGAAAAACAUACACUUCAAGAUAUCUUUCAAGUAAAUCCUCUCCCGAACAAUCUUGCUGUUGCCUUUAUACGAGUCACACACCACAACGUUCCAUAGGCACUGGAAAUCACCUUUUACUUGAAUAAUUAGGAAGUGUCCAGGAAGUCAUGAAGGUAAUACAUUGUUUAAGCAUAAAUACAGCUCCUAUUAUGACUGCCUACUAUUAUUCUAAUGCUUCAUAUUCAGUGACAGACUUAAGACAAGUAAUACCUAGGCCUACAGUUAUCAUGAAAAAUGCAUAUUAAUACAAGAUAUACUAUACUGAGUUUCCCUGAGAAAAUACCAGUGAUAUUUGCAUAGAGUAAAUAAAGUGACCAUUGUGUAAAUUACUUUUAUACGCAAUAGAUUAGGUACACAAGUCUGACUUGUCUUGUUAACUAAAAAGAUCGCGAGUUUGGCAUUGCAUCAAGUGUCCGCUGGUAAUUGUCUGCCUCUGAAUCUCUGAACUCAACUCAUACAGUCUUGGGCAUCCUCUGUUGUUGACAUGGCAACCGGCUUUACAUCAUGAGUCUUAUAAUCUUCAGGAAUUCCAUCUUCUGUUUUCCCCCUGGGAGUUGAAUGUGACUCGGGUAAAUUGUAAUUCCCUGCAUCUCAACCAAGUUUUCUUCUGGGCUUCAUUCAGCAGACACUAGUCUGGUGUCUACACAGGUGUCUAUAGGUAUGACCAAAAUACACACAAUAACAAGUUAGCACAAGUGUUCAGCUACGUAUCUUAAGGCGUUAGCUAGCCUAUUCAUUGUCCGUUAGCCUUCAUUGCCCUUCUGCCUGGAAUCCACUAUCUUCUUCCCCAUGUUCAUAGCCACAGUGGACACAGCAAAGGAGGAGAGGAUGAUGAUGGAUGUGCCUACAAACUGUGUGGAGGCCCCUCUGGGGGCUACCUUCAUGGCCCUCCUGGGGAGGGAGUCAGGGUCUGCAGCCUGGGCCACCAUGGUCUGGGCAAUGGGUUCCAUGCUUUUCUCUGGUGGUCUGGUAGAGACUGGAGCUCAGAUACUUCUGGAGCUGAUGGUUAAGUCCUCUUGCCCCACAAAGUGCUGCUUCUGGGGCUGGGUCUCUCUUUGGUCCAGUGGAGCUCAGGCAAACAUCCGGGGACUGGAGGAGGCUAAAUCCACUUGCCCACUCCGAGAGCUGCUUCUGGAGCUGGCUUUCAACAGUCUCUGCCUGGGUCUCUCUCUCUCAGCUGGAGCUCAGUCAGGCAUUCAUCCAGAGACUGAAGGCUAGGUCCACCGGCCAACUUCGAGAGCUGUUUCUGGGCCUGGAAACUCAACACUGACUGCCUCUUCUGGAAGCCUCAAAUCAGUAACAAGCCACGCCCCUGAGUGAGGUCAGAGAGCAGAUCAGCCUGACCUAACCGCCCUUUCUAACAAACUGUAUAAAAUUAUGAGUUAAGAAUUAACAUAUCAGACCAGAGAGACAUUGAGCUGCAGCUCACGUUUAAAGUGGUUUGAACUCUGAAUCUCAACACGAGGUAGAGACGAUAAACUCACCUCCCGGACAGUCUCGUGUACGGCUGAUUAGGUGUCCAAAUUAAAGUAUCUGGAAAAAUGAAUUUAAGUGGGACAAUUCUACUACUCUCUUCAAACCUUCAGAUUCUGUUACUCUCAUCACCCCACUGGGAACCAUCAACACGGCUGGCUAGCCUAUCUUCAAAGAAGCAUCUUCCAGAGCGAAUGGAAAUAGAAUGAACUCUAUAGUUCUGUUCAGGACUACACAACAAAUCACCGGAUGACUGCAGAGGAGAGCAACAGUAGAAGUCGGGUGGAGACCCCUUUUGGACAAUCAGAGCCUUACAAGCGUGCCGCAAAAGGCAGAGAAACAAAGGAUUUUCACGUAAAUACAUUCAUGAUUGCUUACUCCAAGCGGCCGUGGUUGGUGUGCCAAGUGAGAGUAGUUUAUAAAUGUACCAACGUAUCUCUGUCCCUCUCUCUCUCUCGCCCUCGCCAUGUCUUUUUGUAAUAAGCAGUCAUAUUGUUGUCAGUCCGCUAGGGACCUGUUUCUUAUGUAUCAAGUGUGUAUGUUUAUCCUGUGUUACCAAUUAGUUAACUAGUAAAUAAAUCAUUUUUAAAAAUUGUGUAGUACUGAAUCAUAAGUAAGGCUCGGGUUUUUGCAGAUACAAGGUUACGACUGUUCAGAAUGAGGAUAUGGUACGAGCUUAUGAUUAAAACAUUGACUGUUUAUGGACGUGAUAGGUAAAUACCUUUAGAGUUUAAUUCGGUAGAUGGUAACUCUUUAAAGAACCCCUCUCGUGGUGCCCCAAAUCCUAAUGAGUUAAUUGUUACAUGAUUAAUUGAAUCGGGAAACAAUUAAACAUAGUUACCUGAUUAGAUAAAUAUCAGUCAUCGGAUUAAUAAAAGUAAGGUGACAACACCAGCACCAGUGGCCAAAGUCACUCAAUUGGUUUAACAGAAGAACCGCUGCUGUGCCAAACUGCCGGAGGUGAAUGGAGACGAUCAGAGGAUACCAUUUCCUUCUGUUGCUGGGGGUGUUUGUGUGUUUUCCACUGUAUUAACGUGAGUAGGACCACCUGGCCUCUCGAUCCAGUAUCGUCCUGACCUAACCUCUGGUAGAGACAUAAGAGGGUUUUCUUCAA